CCUACGUGUGGCAGCAGUGGGGAAUAUUGGACAAUGGGCGAAAGCCUGAUCCAGCCAUGCCGCGUGUGUGAAGAAGGCCUUCGGGUUGUAAAGCACUUUCAGUGGGGAAGAAAGCCUUGGGGCUAAUACCCUCGAGGAAGGACAUCACCCACAGAAGAAGCACCGGCUAACUCCGUGCCAGCAGCCGCGGUAAUACGGAGGGUGCGAGCGUUAAUCGGAAUUACUGGGCGUAAAGCGCGCGUAGGCGGUCUGAUAAGCCGGUUGUGAAAGCCCCGGGCUCAACCUGGGAACGGCAUCCGGAACUGUCAGGCUAGAGUGCAGGAGAGGAAGGUAGAAUUCCCGGUGUAGCGGUGAAAUGCGUAGAGAUCGGGAGGAAUACCAGUGGCGAAGGCGGCCUUCUGGACUGACACUGACGCUGAGGUGCGAAAGCGUGGGUAGCAAACAGGAUUAGAUACCCCAGUAGUC
rnacentral:rRNA from 1 species